CUCGGAGUUUGAUCCUGGCUCAGAUUGAACGCUGGCGGAAUGCUUUACAUAUGCAAGUCGAACGGUAGAGGGGGCAACCCCUUGAGAGUGGCGAACGGGUGAGUAAUAUAUCGGAACGUGCCCAGUCGUGGGGGAUAACGUAGCGAAAGUUACGCUAAUACCGCAUACGAUCUACGGAUGAAAGCGGGGGUAUCGCAAGACCUCGCGCGAUUGGAGCGGCCGAUAUCAGAUUAGGUAGUUGGUGGGGUUAAAGGCUCACCAAGCCAACGAUCUGUAGCUGGUCUGAGAGGAUGAUCAGCC
rnacentral:rRNA from 1 species